rnacentral:rRNA from 1 species
UACGGAGGGUGCAAGCGUUAAUCGGAAUUACUGGGCGUAAAGCGUGCGUAGGUGGUUGACUAAGUUAUCUGUGAAAUCCCCGGGCUUAACCUGGGCAGGUCAGAUGAUACUGGUUGACUCGAGUAUGGGAGAGGGUAGUGGAAUUUCCGGUGUAGCGGUGAAAUGCGUAGAGAUCGGAAGGAACACCAGUGGCGAAGGCGGCUACCUGGCCUAAUACUGACACUGAGGCACGAAAGCGUGGGGAGCAAACAGG